rnacentral:rRNA from 1 species
GUAGGUGGCAAGCGUUGUCCGGAAUUAUUGGGCGUAAAGCGCGCGCAGGCGGUUCUUUAAGUCUGAUGUGAAAGCCCACGGCUCAACCGUGGAGGGUCAUUGGAAACUGGAGAACUUGAGUACAGAAGAGGAAAGCGGAAUUCCACGUGUAGCGGUGAAAUGCGUAGAGAUGUGGAGGAACACCAGUGGCGAAGGCGGCUUUCUGGUCUGUAACUGACGCUGAGGCGCGAAAGCGUGGGGGAGCAAACAGGAUUAGAUACCCUGGUAGUCCACGCCGUAAACGAUGAGUGCUAAGUGUUAGGGGGGUUUUCCGCCCCUUAGUGCUGCAGCUAACGCAUUAAGCACUCCGCCUGGGAGUACGGCCGCAAGGCUG